UCUGAAUCUGCGUACGGCUCCGCAAACCAGUUGUAAACUAUAGCAAGCAGGCUCGGGGUCGGCCUUCACGGGCUGGCCUCGGGUGAUAUGGAUAACCCUGGUAAUUCUGAGGCUAAUACAUGAACGUAGAACCCGGUUGACUAGGCUUCACGGCCCGGGAUGCUGGGGGAUGUGCGAUUGGCAGGCUUGGGUAACACCGGGAAAGGGCGCGCGUCCAGACCGCGCUAUAAAGGAUGGGCUCCUCACGGGGCCUGCCCCAGCGGCUCUUGCUGUGUGCUUCUGACCUAUCAACUAGACGGCAGCGAUAUAGGGACAUGCUAUGG
rnacentral:rRNA from 1 species